rnacentral:rRNA from 1 species
UAUUGCACAAUGGGGGAAAACCUGAUGCAGCGACGCCGCGUGAGUGAAGAAGUAUUUCGGGAUGUAAAGCUCUAUCAGCAGGGAAGAAAAUGACAGGAACUGACCAAGAAGCCCCGGCGAACUACGUGCCAGCAGCCGCGGUAAUACGUAGGGGGCAAGCGUUAUCCGGAUUUACUGGGUGUAAAGGGAGCGUAGACGGCAGCACAAGUCUGGAGUGAAAUGCCGGGGCUUAACCCCGGAACUGCUUUGGAAACUGUGCAGCUAGAGUGCAGGAGAGGUAAGUGGAAUUCCUAGUGUAGCGGUGAAAUGCGUAGAUAUUAGGAGGAACACCAGUGGCGAAGGCGGCUUACUGGACUGUAACUGACGUUGAGGCUCGAAAGCGUGGGGAGCAAACAGG